UACGUAGGGGGCGAGCGUUGUCCGGAUUCAUUGGGCGUAAAGCGCGCGCAGGCGGCCUUUUAAGUCUCGUGGUGAAAUGCCGGGGCUCAACCCCGUGCCCGCCGGAGAUACUGGGAGGCUGGAGACAUGUAGAGGCAAGCGGAAUUCCGGGUGUAGCGGUGGAAUGCGUAGAGAUCCGGAAGAACACCGGAGGCGAAGGCGGCUUGCUGGGCAUUGUCUGACGCUGAGGCGCGAAAGCGUGGGGAGCGAACAGG
rnacentral:rRNA from 1 species